AGUCGAACGUUUCUUUUUCCACCGGAGCUUGCUCCACCGGAAAAAGAGGAGUGGCGAACGGGUGAGUAACACGUGGGUAACCUGCCCAUCAGAAGGGGAUAACACUUGGAAACAGGUGCUAAUACCGUAUAACAAUCAAAACCGCAUGGUUUUGAUUUGAAAGGCGCUUUCGGGUGUCGCUGAUGGAUGGACCCGCGGUGCAUUAGCUAGUUGGUGAGGUAACGGCUCACCAAGGCCACGAUGCAUAGCCGACCUGAGAGGGUGAUCGGCCACAUUGGGACUGAGACACGGCCCAAACUCCUACGGGAGGCAGCAGCAGGGAAUCUUCGGCAAUGGACGAAAGUCUGACCGAGCAACGCCGCGUGAGUGAAGAAGGUUUUCGGAUCGUAAAACUCUGUUGUUAGAGAAGAACAAGGAUGAGAGUAACUGUUCAUCCCUUGACGGUAUCUAACCAGAAAGCCACGGCUAACUACGUGCCAGCAGCCGCGGUAAUACGUAGGUGGCAAGCGUUGUCCGGAUUUAUUGGGCGUAAAGCGAGCGCAGGCGGUUUCUUAAGUCUGAUGUGAAAGCCCCCGGCUCAACCGGGGAGGGUCAUUGGAAACUGGGAGACUUGAGUGCAGAAGAGGAGAGUGGAAUUCCAUGUGUAGCGGUGAAAUGCGUAGAUAUAUGGAGGAACACCAGUGGCGAA
rnacentral:rRNA from 1 species